CUAGGGUGGAAAAACAUUUGAGUGGGACAAAAGAGGGCAGAUCUCCUCAGUAGUUGCACCUAGAUCAGGAGCAGCGAACCCCAGGCCCAGGAACCAGGGCCCUCCAGGUUGUUUAGGUCUUUGUGAAUUAACAGGAGAACCUUGAACAACAGCCCCAAAUCAAGUUAUUGAACAAGACAGACAGUAACCUCAGAGAUACAUGAGAACAUCAGGCGAGCUCCUUGAUCAGAUUCAUCUGGGGCAGCAUCCUGUUUUGAAAAAUGACCAUCCAGAGAAUGCACCUCCAGCAGAGACCGUUCAUGUGGCCUAAACUGAAUGCAACAAUCCAGAUGGCACUCUGGCUAGCCUGCCUCCCGUCAACCAGAGAGCUCUGUUGCUCAGGUUUCCUGCUUAAGAACAUAUUA
rnacentral:lncRNA from 1 species